rnacentral:rRNA from 1 species
CCUAGGGUGGCUGCAGUAGGGGAUCUUCGGCAAUGGGCGAAAGUCUGACCGAGCAACGCCGGCUGGGGGAAGAAGGUGUUCGGAUCGUAAAACUCUGUUGGUCGAGAAGAAUGUAGGUGAGAGUGGACAGCUAAUCAAGGGACGGGAACUAUCCAGAAAGGGACGGCUAACUACGUGCCAGCAGCCGCGGUAAUACGUAGGUCCCGAGCGUUGUCAGGAUGUAUGGGGCGUAAAGCGAGGGCAGGGGGUUUAGUAGGUGUGGUGUAAAAGGCAGUGGCUCAACCAGUGUAUGCAUUGGAAACUGGUAGACUUGAGUGCGGGAGGGGAGAGUGGAAUUCCAUGUGUAGCGGUGAAAUGCGUAGAUAUAUGGAGGAACACCGGUGGCGAAAGCGGCUCUCUGGACUGUAACUGACACUGAGGCUCGAAAGCGUGGGGAGCAAACAGGAUUAGAUACCCCAGUAGUC